UGCCCGCGUGUAUGAUGAAGGCCUUCCGGAGUUGGUAAAGUACUGUUUGGCAGAGAAGAAAAGGUAUCCCCUAAUACGGGAUACUCGCUGACGGUAUCUGCAGAAUAAGCACCGGCUAACUACGUGCCAGCAGCCGCGGUAAUACGUAGGGUGCAAGCGUUAAUCGGAAUUACUGGGCGUAAAGCGUGUGUAGGCGGUUCGGAAAGAAAGAUGUGAAAUCCCAGGGCUCAACCUUGGAACUGCAUUUUUAACUGCCGAGCUAGAGUAUGUCAGAGGGGGGUAGAAUUCCCCGGGUAGCAGUGAAAUGCGUAAAUUUGUGGAGGAAUACCGAUGGCGAAGGCAGCCCCCUGGGAUAAUACUGACGCUCAAACACGAAAGGGGGGGGAGCAAACAGGAUUAAAUACCCUGGUAGUCCACGCCCUAAACGAUGUCAACUAGCUGUUGGGGCCGUUAGGCCUUAUUAGCGCAGCUAACGCGUGAAGUUGACCGCCUGGGGAGUACGGUCGCAAGAUUAAAACUCAAAGGAAUUGACGGGGACCCGCACAAGCGGUGGAUGAUGUGGAUUAUUUCGAUGCAACGCGAAAAACCUUACCUACCCUUGACAUGUCUGGAAAGCCGAAGAGAUUUGGCCGUGCUCGCAAGAGAACCGAAACACAGGUGCUGCA
rnacentral:rRNA from 1 species